GCCUCUAUGGCGUAGUGGUAGCGCGUGUCACUUGUACUGGUUACAAGAAUAUGACAAGGUCUCUCGUUCGAUCCGGGAUGGAGGCA
rnacentral:tRNA from 1 species